rnacentral:rRNA from 1 species
GCCGCAGCCGCAGCGAAAGCGAGUCUGAACAGGGCGCCAUAGUCGGUAGUAGUAGACGCGAAACCGUGCGAUCUACCCAUGGGCAGGUUGAAGCUGUGGUAACACAUAGUGGAGGACCGAACCCGUUGACGUUGAAAAGUCUUGGGAUGACCUGUGGGUAGGGGUGAAAGGCCAAUCAAGCUCGGAAAUAGCUCGUACUCCCCGAAAUGCAUUUAGGUGCAGCGUUCUGAUAGUUAUAUAGAGGUAGAGCUACUGAUUGGAUGCGGGGGCUUCACCGCCUACCAAUUCCUGACAAACUCCGAAUGCUAUAUAAUGUUUCAGGGCAGUGAGGGCAUGGGUGCUAAGGUCCAUGUCCGAGAGGGAAAGAACCCGGACCAUCAGCUAAGGUCCCCAAAUAUGUGCUAAGUUGACAAAACGCGGUGGGACUGCAUAGACAGCCAGGAUGUUGGCUUGGAAGCAGCCAUUCAUUUAAAGAGUGCGUAACAGCUCACUGGUCGAGCGGUCCCGCAUGGAUAAUGAUCGGGCAUAAGCACAUUACCGAAGCUAUGGCAUCGAAAGAUGGGUAGGGGAGCAUUCCGUUCUGCGUUGAAGCGGGCCUGCGAGGUCCCGUGGAGCGUACGGAAACGAAAAUGUAGGCAUAAGUAACGAUAAUGCGGGCGAGAAACCCGCACACCGAUAGACUAAGGUUUCCCCGGCAAUGCUAAUCAGCCGGGGGUUAGUCAGGACCUAAGGCGAACCCGAAGGGGGUAGUCGAUGGCCAACGGGUUAAUAUUCCCGUACCACCUUUAUUUUCGAUGGGGUGACGGAGUAGUGAAAGCACCGCGUACUGACGGAAUAGUACGUUGAAGGGUGUAGGUAUAGGCGAUGUAGGUAAAUCCGCAUUGCUUGCUGAACCUGAUAGUACCACAAAUCUUCGGAUGCGUGGAUAGUGUGCCUAAUCAGACUUCCAAGAAAAACCUCUAAGAUUAGAAUAAAAGUACCCGUACCGUAAACCGACACAGGUAGUCAAGGAGAGAAUCCUGAGGUGCUCGAGUGAUUCAUGGCUAAGGAACUAGGCAAAAUGGCCCUGUAACUUCGGGAGAAGGGGCUCCAACUUCGGUUGGACGCAGUGAAAAGACCCAGGCGACUGUUUAUCAAAAACACAUGGCUGUGCGAACGUGAAAGCGGAUGUAUACGGCCUGACACCUGCCCGGUGCUGGAAGGUUAAGGGGGGGAGUUAUCUUCGGAGAAGCUCUGAACUGAAGCCCCAGUAAACGGCGGCCGUAACUAUAACGGUCCUAAGGUAGCGAAAUUCCUUGUCGGGUA